rnacentral:piRNA from 1 species
GCAAAGGGUGGAGGGUGGGAGGAGGGA